AUGUACCGCGAAAACGCAUUAUUGAUUUAAUUCUUUCAAUAUCCGUAGCGCUGUUGUCGCCAACUUGUAAUACGAGUAACGAGGUACGAAAACAUGCCGCUAUUAGAAUUACUUACCUUAUUACUUACACCUUAUCUGCAGCAAUAUAAACAUACAUAAUUUUGUAACCAUUUUUUAAGAUACCUAUUUGAUACGAUGGCUUAAGAAAUGAUUUAUAUCGACUGAUAAUGGGCACACUAGCCCCAAAUGACUAAUUUACUGACUAUGUUAUUGUUAUUAGGUUCUUCCCAGUAGCAACAGUGAGUAGAUACUAUCGAUUGCAUUGCACAAUGCAUGUAGUGCUUUGAUUAGUUUUCAUGUCUCAUGCCUACAAAAUGUACAUAUAAAUACGACACGAGUUAGAACCAAGUCAAAAUAAAUCUUCAGGAGCAAUUGAAAUAAACUCACUGUAAACAUGAAGGUUUUCGCCGUUGCUCUCUUUACUGCCCUCGUGUACAUCACACAGGCCUCACCAAUCGGAGAGGAGGUAGGGAUUCCAGUACUAGCAGCAGAUGCCAUGGAACCAAUGGAGUUGUUAAACGGCGCUCGUCAAGGGAUCUGCUCGUCCGUGUGUCAGUACUUGUGCAGGAGGAUGGGAUGGCUAAUCGGAAACUGCAACGCGCAAGGAAGGUGCAUUUGCAGACGUUAAUACUCCAAAAACUAUUUUAAUUUUGUAUUAUAAGCUAUUGUACUAUUUUUCAAGCUGUAAAUAAAAAACUAGCCCUAAUU